rnacentral:rRNA from 1 species
AUGUGUCCCACCUUUACAGUCGUGUCACGUCUUGAAAAUUACUAUCCCUCACAUCAACGCCACCCUGUUGCCAUCUACCUCCCCCUCCACCCAACGCAGCUCUGUGUUCCUCUGUUCUUCUCACCGGAAGGAGCUUGGCUCCCACUGAACGAGGUGCGGCAGCCUAUUCCUCGGCACGCGAGUUGCCCUACCACGGCGAGCCCCCUCAUCUGGCGGCGCUGCGCGAGGGCAGUCGGCGGCGAUCCGGUCCACACGGAAGAGGCGGGGAGGGAUAAAAUGUCAAUUCCUUUUAGUGGAGUACAAGCUGCGAUGGUUAUCAAUCGGGUAGAAAACAGCGCCCAAUCUCCUGAAGAUUGGAAUAGCGAUGGUGAUGGUUCAGGUUGUUCAACCGGAGUAGCUGGCACACCAUGUUUCACCUCUAGGUUAUCACUGCUCAAGGCUGGUUCAGUAAUAGCACAGUUUAGUGAAUUCAAGCGGGAGCUAGUUAGGGAAACCGGUUUCGGAGGAAUGCUAGAUUUGAAGUCAUGGCAGAAGAUUAACUUGAAAUACAGUGCUUAUUUGAUCGAUAGAGUUGAUUUAGAUUCCUGCUCCUUGAACCUGGAGUCACAGGGGGUGUUGGAUUUGUUUGACAAGGAUUUGAACUAUGUUUUUGGCAUCCCAUGUGGGAAUCUAACAAUUGAAGGUGAAGGCGUUGAACCAUCUGUAGCUUGUAUCGAGUACACACGGAUAGCAGCAUCAGUUAGCGAGAAAGGCACACACAGCCUCAAAGCCGCUGAAUCAUUCUUGCUUGGACCCAUAUCAGAAGAAUCAACAGAAACAGAGAAGGAUUGUUUCAAAAUUGCAUUUGUGAUUUUCAUCAUUGGACAUGUGCUCGCCCCGACCGCCAAACAUGACUACAUAUCAGUAGAUUUCUGGGCAACACUGAACAAUGUCAGCAAGAUCAAAGAUUGGAACUGGGGGGCUUACGUACUGAAAAAUUUGCUCCAAGCAGUGAAGAAGUUCAAAAACGAUGUUUCAAAGAGGAACCCAACUAUACAUAUAGUCGGAUGCCAUCUGUUCUUGCAGGUUUUUGUCCUCGACAGAUUAGAGCUCAGUGUACUGAACAAGCCAGAAGGAGUGACACCAAGGAUAAGCCUGUACGACUAUGAGUCAAUGAAAAAGAUGGUUGAGCAAAUCACGGUUAACAUCGCUGGUGGAGAAGUCACUUUCAGUGGCGGCAAGGUCAGGAGUGGUACGGCCGUCGGGGGGCUCGAGUCAGCUCGGAAUCAUACCGUUACAGAAAAAAUGGCUAGGCCUGCUAUUGCGACCAAAAGAGCAAACAAUCCAUGCUCACCAAUGCUACGAUCUUCUUACACGAGAAAUGGCCCGCAGGAAUUUUCAAAUUACAUACGCUCGCGGUACCCUACCAUAUUAGCUCAGAAGCUUGGCAUACUUCUAUGGGAACAAAAUGCACGCGGCUUAGCAAACAUAUCGGAAAUGAGGCAAGCGUUCCAAUCGAACAUGUUCACCUUCACUGACAAGCUAAUAGCGUGCCUCGGAGAAAUGUGUACAUGCUGUAAGGCACAUGGACGGAAAAUGUGUAUCCUGAAGAGUGAAGAGACAACCAUCCACGCCGCGCCUCGCACUCCAUCAACUGAUCAGCUAAGCACCCCACUAGUCAGCAAGAUUGGACCACGCCUUCCAGCCCCAGGGCUGCAUGAAGGUGCGUUGUCUGCCAGUAGUUCAAUUUCGAGGAAAAGGGAUGGAAGCUUAUCAUCAAGUAUACAAUCUGGUCCGUCGAAGAGGCUUUGUUUACCUUCCCCAAUGCAGAAGAUGGCCUUGGUCAAAAACAGAAACCAAUAG